ensembl:lncRNA
CGCAAACAGAUCAGCUGCAAAGUGCUACAGCUUCUACUAUUACCACUGACAGUGGAGGCCCGCUUAUCUUUUCCAAACUUCUCGCAAGUGAUGUUUAAGUGCCUGCAAGCCAAUAUCAUACAAAGUCUGGAAGCCUGGCAACAACCGCUUCUCACAGUAAUCUCUAGUAAUAAAAAGCUGUACUUCUUCAUAAAAGUUACAUGCCUGUCAAGGAGUGCAAGGCAUUCCCCCACUUUCUUCUCUGUGAUACUGGGAGGAAUAUUGGUUGGAAAGCAGAAGUGGUAGCCUUGGUUAAAGGCAUGAAAAUGACCUUCAGAUGACUUCAUUAGCAAGUGAUGAUUAUGCUCAAAUGUCCUUUGAGGUUUAUAUGGAACUCCCUGUGUUCCAGUGUGUGCCCACUGCCCCUUGUUCUGUUGCUGAACAGAGCACAGCCCCAGCCACUUGACUCUCACCUUUUAGAUAUAUAUAUGCAUUGAAAAGAUCCCCUCUCAGCCUUCUCCUCUUUAGCCUAAACAGCCCCAGGUCCCUCAGCUUUUCCUCAUACAGGAGAUGCUCCAGGUCCUCCAGAUACGAAGACUGCAAGUCACAAAACGUUAAGGGACACCCGCGCAGUUUGGAGGCGUCCCUUUGAAUACACAGGAAGAUCUGGGACAACCUAACUUGGUUCCUAGCUGCUUCCAUUUCCAUCAUUGCACAGGAGGACGUUGCCGGCUGCUCCCUUCAGGUCAUUACUCAUAAGCCGGCUGGCUUCCCGCCCUCACGCUCCCCCCACGAGCCGCCCUCACACUGCGGUUAAACAGCACCAAACCCGUCCGCUCGCUCCGCCGCUGAAUUUGCUUUACUUAAAGCCCCACCACGCGGCCUGAUCGCGCCCACACCGCUUGCUGUUCCCCGAGCACACCCGCCUGCCUCCUCCACGCAGAGCCGUCGGGCCCGCCCCUCACAGCGGCACAGACACACCCGACCCCUCGUGGGCCGAGUCCCGGCGCCCCGCAG